GAUGAACGCUGGCGGCGUGCCUAAUACAUGCAAGUCGAGCGAACGGACGAGAAGCUUGCUUCUCUGAUGUUAGCGGCGGACGGGUGAGUAACACGUGGAUAACCUACCUAUAAGACUGGGAUAACUUCGGGAAACCGGAGCUAAUACCGGAUAAUAUUUUGAACCGCAUGGUUCAAAAGUGAAAGACGGUCUUGCUGUCACUUAUAGAUGGAUCCGCGCUGCAUUAGCUAGUUGGUAAGGUAACGGCUUACCAAGGCAACGAUGCAUAGCCGACCUGAGAGGGUGAUCGGCCACACUGGAACUGAGACACGGCCCAGACUCCUACGGUAGGCAGCAGUAGGGAAUCUUCCGCAAUGGGCGAAAGCCUGACGGAGCAACGCCGCGUGAGUGAUGAAGGUCUUCGGAUCGUAAAACUCUGUUAGUAGGGAAGAACAUAUGUGUAAGUAACUGUGCACAUCUUGACGGUACCUAAUCAGAAAGCCACGGCUAACUACGUG
rnacentral:rRNA from 1 species